rnacentral:rRNA from 1 species
GAUGAACGCUGGCGGCGUGCCUAAUACAUGCCAGUCGAGCGAACGGACGAGAAGCUUGCUUCUCUGAUGUUAGCGGCGGACGGGUGAGUAACACGUGGAUAACCUACCUAUAAGACUGGGAUAACUUCGGGAAACCGGAGCUAAUACCGGAUGAUAUUUUGAACCGCAUGGUUCAAAAGUGAAAGACGGUCUUGCUGUCACUUAUAGAUGAAUCCGCGCUGCAUUAGCUAGUUGGUAAGGUAACGGCUUACCAAGGCAACGAUGCAUAGCCGACCUGAGAGGGUGAUCGGCCACACUGGAACUGAGACACGGUCCAGACUCCUACGGGAGGCAGCAGUAGGGAAUCUUCCGCAAUGGGCGAAAGCCUGACGGAGCAACGCCGCGUGAGUGAUGAAGGUCUUCGGAUCGUAAAACUCUGUUAUUAGGGAAGAACAUAUGUGUAAGUAACUGUGCACAUCUUGACGGUACCUAAUCAGAAAGCCACGGCUAACUACGUG